rnacentral:rRNA from 1 species
GAUGAACGCUGGCGGCGUGCCUAAUACAUGCAAGUCGAGCGAAUGGAUUAAGAGCUUGCUCUUAUGAAGUUAGCGGCGGACGGGUGAGUAACACGUGGGUAACCUGCCCAUAAGACUGGGAUAACUCCGGGAAACCGGGGCUAAUACCGGAUAACAUUUUGAACCGCAUGGUUCGAAAUUGAAAGGCGGCUUCGGCUGUCACUUAUGGAUGGACCCGCGUCGCAUUAGCUAGUUGGUGAGGUAACGGCUCACCAAGGCAACGAUGCGUAGCCGACCUGAGAGGGGGUUCGGCCACACUGGGACUGGGACACGGCCCAGACUCCUACGGGAGGCAGCAGUAGGGAAUCUUCCGCAAUGGACGAAAGUCUGACGGAGCAACGCCGCGUGAGUGAUGAAGGCUUUCGGGUCGUAAAACUCUGUUGUUAGGGAAGAACAAGUGCUAGUUGAAUAAGCUGGCACCUUGACGGUACCUAACCAGAAAGCCACGGCUAACUACGUGCCAGCAGCCGCCGUAA